rnacentral:rRNA from 1 species
CGGACGUUACGUUUCUUUUGCUUUAAUGUGUCUUCGUGUGUCUAGAGAGGUAGCGCUUCUUGUGACGGAGGACGCAAGAAGUGGGAGACGUUUUAUAGAGCAGGGGAACGCGAGCGAGCCCUUCCGAUCCCAAAGUCCCAAGAGGAGUUAGCCUUAGUCAGACCCUGAGCGGGAAGUUUAAGCGGGCCUCUGCCUCGGGAGGAGGGGGCCGGGUAGGUGCCGCCGGUGGUAAAGACAGGGCAAGAAGAGUUAGCCGUAUAAAGGCGACCAACCAAGCACAGGUCGUAAGACCUAUGGGUUAGGGUUGAUCGUGAGCUACCUCCUAGAGGGCCUCCGUGACGACCGUCUCUAGUAGUUCUCCCAAUGGUUUUCUUCACUGAACUUAAGAGAAAGGGAACAGAGCUUCGCAGAGAAGCGGUAGGUCCGACUCGUUUUUCCCAGGUAGGCCCAACCAACACCGGAAACGGAACGGUGACUUCGAAACCACAGUGAGAAGAGGGCCAAGGGGUUAAACACCUUUCAUCUCUAGCUAAUGCGACCGACCUGUGGAAGGGUGCCCCUAGUCAACCUGUUGGUACUGAAGAAACACUAAUAUAGAACGACAGGGAGAGAUUGGCUAGAGUGUGAUUCAAAGACAAGUGUUUAGCUACUGUGGCCAGAACCAAUAGAUACGAUGUCGCUCUUUAACUGAAGGGAGUCCGACUUGAGACGUUGACUUUAUUGAAGAUCACCUGAAGAGAGCCAGCGUCAACCAACGUUCUCAGACAGAAGGGAGGUGGAAUAUUUGACACUCUUUCAUCCGUCAUGGCUCACCGACCUCAUAGAUCCGAACUUACCUAGCAACCUUCUUGAACAUGAGUCCUUAACGUUACCUUAGUCGGACAUACUGGAGUAUUACGAGCCAGGUCCUACCUACUUCGAUGCAUUCAAACUUAAAGCUUACCCUCCUAAUACCCUACAAGUACUCCCUAUACUAGUAUACCUUUAGCUACCAAUCAGUACUUCGACUGUUAACUACAAAGUACGACGGUACUAACAACAAACCGAACACUCGUCAAUUAAACCCCUUUUAACGGUCCCUCUUCUUACUCUAAAGCUCCCAGAAGAUCAACUAAUAAAAAUCCCUUUUGAAACAAAAACGGUGAGAUCGAAAACGGGUGAAACGAAUACGGUGAGAUCUUAAACUGUAAAGUGAAAACGGUGAGAAUCGAAAGCUGUUAUGUAGUGAAAACGGUAAGACACCGUUUUCGUUUUAAGAGUUUCACCGUUAACACUAUGUAGCGUUUUCGAUUCUCACCGUUUUCACUUUACUUUUUAAUAGUAAAAACGGUACCUUACCGUAAACACUACAUAACAGUUUUCGAUUCUCACCGUUUUCACUCUACAGUUUAAGAUCUCACCGUAUUCGUUUCACCCGUUUUUGGUCUCACCGUUUUUGUUUCAAAAGGGAAAAAAAAUAAUUCUACAGUACGACAUUAUAGACAGUGGUUCUCUGAAUUGUGUUGUUUAAUAACCUCGAAAGUAGUUAAUUUUGUAGUUGUAGGACCUGGUAAUGUGACCUUUUGUCAUGUCUUUACGGCCGGUACGUCGAACGGCCAUGAAACAGGGAACAAUUAAGUACAAUGAAAAGACCUUGUUUACAUUCUACCGUACCAGACAACAAGACGAUACCACCUUAAGUCCUAGGAUAUAGUCUUCUUAAAUGAUCUCCUGACAACUAGUGAACAAAGGUGUCUAAUAAGGUCUACGUCUUCAUUUGAGUCUUCUCUUUCUACUGUCCUACAAUCGUAGAAGUUUACCAUACCCCACGUGUCGGGACUUUCAUACCUUAAUCAUAUGUGAUCCACCAAAAGCGUACAAUGAACUUCCGAUAGUAGGAAAUACCUCGUCAGAUGAGAGCCUUCCACGAGUGCCAGAAGUAGUCGAUCAACGGGUACCCCAGUCACCACUUUACAUCGACUUCUUUAGAGAGACAUAAGACGUUAACCUACUUUAAACCCGUCGGUACACCCAGAGUCUUCCGUUUUGUUUUUCGAUAACUCUACUACGAACUAUUCAAUAACGUUUGAAAGUGACACCAAACGUCGACAAUACGUCAUAUCUGUUAUAUUUUUAUAGGUGACCCCUUUUAUAUUAGACGAAUGAAUCACAUUUGAUUUAAUUAACGAUUAACGAGAUAACGACAUGAUUAAGGAUCAAGUUUAACCUAGAAGUAGGACUGUCCUUUAAAGUCUCACAAAAAAAAUUUGUUACAAUCUCACAAAAUAACAUAAACGGGUAGUAAAGACAUACAGUAUUAUUUACUUCAACGGGUUUACUCUCCAACUAAAAUACUCUAGGUAAAAGAAGGAACUACCUAUUCUCUUCCUUAAGUUUAGGUACUUACUUCAUGUAUUAAACGGUCUAGGUAAAAAAGAUAGCUACGUUGAUGUCUCCAGAAUGUAAGAACAUGAGGAAUACACCGAGUAAUAACGUAUAGAUAGAUGAUUAAGUGAUUCGAGGGACCCAUCUUUCGGGGUCCUCGCUAAGCCGCCACUUAAACCGACCAGCGCAGCUAAAACUGAACCAGCAUCUCUCGACCAGCACACACCCGGAAAACCCAGUUGCAUAUCAUACCCGACCCGAAAGAAACUCAACCCUACCCCCCCAAAGAGAAGACCAACCACGAAAAGACGCCGCACCGCCGACCCUCGCCCAGCGGCCCGUGCACAACAAGCUGGCACCCUCGCCCCGACACAUACCUUUCCUUUAGCCGACGACAACCCUUCCCUAAACGAAGCGGCAGCGACCGAGACCCCAAACGACGCCGAAGUCACGGCCGCACAGUGUGACCACAGGAGUACACACAAACACCUCUCUUCCCUGUGCUAAACCCCGCCAACCACAAGCACACUCUCCUCCGCUAAACCACGAUCGGAUAGUCGAGAACCCGUACCAACGGAAGACACCGACGUGAACCCCCUCCAGAUCCAGUCGGCGACGAGGCCGGCCACGCACGAACAACCAAGCAGUGCGGCCGACCGUCCGGACCACUCAUAAGGAGGGCAAGGGGGAGAGGAGAAAAACCACACGCCGCUGUCCUUACCUCCCGGUGCCAGGUGCUCUGCGGGUAUAGGGGUAACUCUUUGUCGCCGUACCACUCGAGCUCCUCUGGCCACGGCUGCGUCAAGGUCACUGGCUAGAAAAAGCUAUAGUGCUCCCUAGGAUAGCCGUACUAGACGAUUAAAAACCCAGGAAAAAUAACAAAAAUAACCGGUAACGCCGGAUCUUAGUCAGGAAGUAUACUUCAAACGAAUGUAAAGAAACAGAGAUCCCGUAUUAUUUGCAACACUGAGUUUCUAUUGUAGUAGCAAUGCCCAAAAUUAGUAAGUCAAAUGAUUGUAUUUACACUAGCUAACAACAAGAACUUUGAAUUAGCGGCCUUACCUAGGAUUAAUUAGUUGUCCUCGGUACGAACCUAAACCUACCUGUAGCCUUACAACGUCAUACGCUUAACUUAUAGACGUUCACAGUGUAAACAUACAAGUACCAAGAUGUCUAAUACUAGAAUAUAUUAAUAAUCACAAUCCAGACGAAUAUAUACUUUUUUAUACAUACACAUUAUCUGACAUAUCUGAGUCUAAUUAAAAUAAACGAAAUACAACAUUAACUGUCAUGUCUGAGCCCGACGAGACUAAACAUACAACCUGACAGUCUUAACGAUGUUUUAUUGAUAGAUCGGAUCGCCAUUGAAAAACCCUUUAGGAGUAAUGAGACUUACUGUUGGAACACAAAUCAAUUUCUUUUUAUACUAUGUAAACUAGAACAACGAGGUGGGUAGGCCCGGACACUAACAGCAAAGUAGCACUUCACCAAGUCACAUCUUUUAUUUACACUAACGUUCAGGUCGUUCACUAGAAUUUGUACGAGAGUAAGGAUUGGGAGAGUAAGCUUCGUACUACCGUGGUGGACUUUUUUUUUCUUUGUACCAUCGUGUCUCUUAACCAAACGGGAUGGUGGUGGUCUCUUGGUUUUCCUUCUUUGAAACGCAGUAUCAUUAUUUAACAGACAUAAAUAACUGGGAUAAGAAAUAAGUAAUUUAACACACCUGUACUGUACAUUUUGUCUCAAACAUAUCACCGAACUUAAAUAGACUUUAACCAAGUAAAAUGACCAAUGGGAAUUACUACACAGAUACGUUCUUAUACAAAUCGACGUACCACCUUUUGAAACACAUGACACCUUCCAACGUAAGUUC